rnacentral:rRNA from 1 species
GUGCCAGCAGCCGCGGUAAAACGUAGGAGACAAACGUUAUCCGGAGUUACUGGGCGUAAAGGGCGUGUAGGUGGUUUCGUAAGUCUGGCGUGAAAUUUCCCGGCUUAACCGGGAGUGGUCGUCGGAUACUGCGGGACUAGAGGACGGUAGAGGCGUGUGGAAUUCCGGGUGUAGUGGUGAAAUGCGUAGAGAUCCGGAGGAACACCAGUGGCGAAGGCGACACGCUGGGCCGUACCUGACACUGAUGCGCGACAGCAUGGGGAGCAAACAGGAUUAGAAACCCUGGUAGUCC